rnacentral:rRNA from 1 species
GACAGAGGUGCCGAGCGUUAGGCGGAAUCACUGGGCUUAAAGCGUGUGUAGGCGGCCCGUUAAGUGCCUCGUGAAAUCCCCCGGCUCAACCGGGGAGGGUCGUUGGGGACGGCGGGGCUUGAGGGCGGGAGAGGUCGGUGGAAUUCCCGGUGUAGUGGUGAAAUGCGUAGAGAUCGGGAGGAACACCCGUGGCGAAGGCGGCUCACUGGGCUGACCUUGACGCUGAGGCGCGAAGGCGUGGGGAGCGAACGGG